UUAAAAUGGAAUAGUCCUCAGUAAUUGCCCACUUUGAAAUGUCUUUAAACCAGCUCGUUUUGUGUUCUUGACUUUGCAGGGACCGAAAAAAAGAAAGAACGUGAAGUAACUAUGUCUUAAAGGAGAACAAACGUACAAGUUUUAUUUUAGUCCCGGUGCAAGACACAGUCACGGGCACUCGGGGCGACUCUGAGGUCUUCGGUCAGUGCUCCUCGAAGCCCUACGAAGCCACCCCUCUACAGCCUGCCGUCCCCACCUUCAUGUAACAACACAAGCGCUUGAGAUUUGACAUGAGAAAGGUGCCUCGAUGUGAUCAUGGAUCAAAGUUCCCCACGCUUUGGGUUUAGGAUGAGGUAAGGAGGCUUGGGAAUCCAAGAGUAGAGAGAAAGGGGCUGCGACAGAGGUGUGGACAGUCCAGGAUCAACCAGGAUCGGCCCCGGGCCAUCAAGGGACCGUGCUGGUCACUAGGCAGAGAGAGCUCCAGAGCCUUCAGCAGGACACCAGCGAGUCACAUGGACCCACACCUGCCUCAGGGGUCAGCACCAGCGUGACAAAAAGCCCUGUUACUGCAGAUAUCUUCCAGCUUAUCAAACACCCUGUGAAACACAGCGAGUGGAACCACGUGUGUGCCCUGCCAGCAAAGUCGGGUGAAAACGGUGACACUGAGUUGGAAAAGAGUCUCUCCUGCAUGAGAUUCCACGUCUGGAUCACACCGCACCCUGGCGACGGCCACGGCUGGAGCAGACGUCACAGGGGCUGGCGGGCGCCUCGAGAAACCCAACACAGAUCACCGUUCUUGCUGCAGAGGGACAAAUUGGCCCUGGGUUCCUCUCUGCCUCUGUAGACAUAGAUUUGGAGGGACAAGGAAAGGGUAAAAAUAACAACAACAAAAAAAGAUGAGCUGGUACUUAGCAGUUGAAAUAUAGCAUUGAUCUAGUUUGUAUUUAUAAUGUGUUAAGUAUUAACACAUGAGAAAAAUAUUAAAGUGAGGUAUUUAUUAGAAGACCUAUAAAUAAAAGAACAACAUGUGCACUCA
rnacentral:lncRNA from 1 species